UCUCUUCCCAAGACUCGCCGACAGGAGGUGCGCCGCCUCUUGUUCACCUGCGUCCUUCCCAUCUCCGCCGACUUGCUCCGCGCCCGACGAGGAACAUGGCUAUAACCUGGUGAGAAGAUUUUCUGGAUGAGAUACUGAUAUAUGUUCAUGGAUGAGAAGAUAUUGAUGUAUGUUCAUAUAUGAGAAGAUAUUGAUCAUGAUGGAAUGUGAUGAUAUCGAUGCUGCAGCGCAAGAUCGUGGUGGCUGAUGAACAUUCUGAUAAGUAGAGACAAAAACAAGAUGCAGUUCCAAGUCAGAUGACAAACGUGAUGACUAUAUUUGAAGGAUGAAGUCGGGACACAAGGAUAUCUUUUACCUCAUAGGAAUCUGCAAGGAACAACUAGAAAAUUCUCCAUUCCUUUGAGCAGCUAGCUAAAAAAAACUAUGAUG